GAGAAACCGUCUUCACUUUUCCUUUCCCUUUCCCUUUCCCUUUCUCUCCCAGGGCACCCCAAAAGCCAUUGAUUAUUCAGUUUUAUAAACAUAGUCGUAACCUUUCGUGCAAGAUCUGUUUGAAGAAGCUAAUAGUUGAACCGUUUGGUGGCCUCUUCACAUGUGAGUUCCUCUAUUUGCCUUAUUUCUUCAUAAAAUUAUAGUAAUUUUUGCUGGUUUAUUACUACCGACAGCCAUCACCCACUGGGAGGCGACAGUCAAGUCCGGUGGCGGCUAGGUGAAUGUUGCUGUCGCUGGCCAACAGUUGUCCGAUGGGAUUAAACUCAUACAGAGGUGGACUCUCCUGGGAAGAAGAAGAUGGCUAAUAUUGCAGCUGUGAUUUCUAAAGUUUCAGAGGCCCUGUGUGCCCUGCAAAACUAGGCACAAAGAGCUGAGAUGAAGGACCAACUCUGGCUGGUAGAGGUUCUUCUAAGAAGAAAAAAAAAGGCCGCAUUAUCCUUCCCGGUAGGGCUGGCUUUGGGAACAAGAACCGGAUUUUAAGGUUAUUUUGAGAAAUCAAGUUAGUUCAUCUUUAAGAUUUCUAAACUUUUAUACUGAUUUCUUCAUUGCAAUGCAUAAGUGGGAUCAUAAAUUCUUGUCAGUUGAUGAAUACAUGUUUGAUUUGUUGAUUUUUUUUUUUUAUUUGUUGAAUUUUACUUUACCAGAGGAUGAUUAUUUUGAUUAGAAUGAGUUAUAAAUAUUUUUACGUUAUGAAUGUUAAUUGAUGCAUAUGUUAAUCAGCAAUAAUCUUCCUUGACAUCCAUUGGUUAUAUGUCAUAAUUUUAAGAAAGGACCACAACAUCCUCAAAAUGUAAGUAUAUAAUUAUUUUUCUCAAAUUUUUCUCCUUUAAAUUGGAAAUAUUGUUCACUAAUCAAGAAUUUGCCCAAUUUAUUCUUAUCUUUCAAGAAAUUAAUAUUUUUUCUUGGCAAUUGUACUUAUGAAUUGAUAUCUAAAUCCUUGAAGGGAAUGAAGAUAAAAUUGCAGAGAAGGAAAUUAUAAACUAUAGGGAAAGCUACAACAAAUCAACGAAAUGGACCUUACAAUAAGAUGUACUCAAGUUCUCCAAUUUUUACAAAAUUAAGCUUAACUUUCAUUUUUUUAACUUUUAUCUUUUUCUCUAAUUGGCAGGUUGAUAAGCUGAAUUAAGGCAUGAAGAAAAUGUUCAUAGAGCUUCAGAGAGGGCUUUCUAUAGACCCUUAGGAACACUACCUUGUCUUCCUCCGUAUCUCCCUCAAAUACUUAAGUAUCGACAUGUUUGGUAUACUAAAGAAGGUAAUCGAGUAUUGUGUACCGAGAAUUUCCUAUUAGUUGAAUUCCACAUUCAUCUAGAUAUGUCUCUCUGCCUUUACUACUACUAUAUUGGAUUUGAUUAGUUUUCGUUUGGCAUAGGCAAAAGGACUAAUGGCGUAAUUGGGAAUUAUUGUUAAGUAAAUUGGAAAUUGGAGACUAAUGACAGGUUCACCAUACUUUAUUGUAAUCAAUCUUAUGAACCUGUGAUUGUGUGGGUGUAAUGUUGUGGACUCUAGAACUUCUAGCUGAAUUGGCUAUUUUGGAAAAUGAGGUUGUUUGACUCAAGGAACAGGUUGUGUAUUUUAGACAAGGUCUCUCUCAGGGAGAUGUUUACAUAGCGUCCCGAACAAAUUCAGAGGAUUCGAUCGGUUCAUUCAAUGAUUCGUUGAUUACUACUACAAGAGCUCAAGAUCUUUAUACCAAAUUUAAGUUAAUUCAGGUUCAUUCUUAUUACCAACUGAAUCCAAGAAAACAUAGAUGAAAUCAUAGAAUCGCAGAUUACACCAUAAACCCUAAAUCACAACAUCAAGGCUUAGAUCUUUCAAUCGAAGGCUCAGACCACACCCAUUUACCAUCACAGAGGCACCGAGACUCAAAACGAACCCUCACAACCCAACACACCAAGGUCACUUCACUGGACUCAAGAAAUCAAACUGCCUACCUUCGGUUGAUCACUCACACAAAGGAGAAUCACACAAGAACACGAUUAUCACAAAGAUAAUCAACCAGAAACCUCACAAAGAGAAGAAGGAAGGGUCACACAGACAAAGGAACUCGAAGGUUCCAAACGGCAGAGAGAAAGAAGAAAAAAUAGAAAGUGACGAUCCAAGAGCCAAACAGGGAGUAAGGAGGAUAUUUAUAGUAAAUAUCAUCAACCGUUGAUCAGCGGGUCAAUCCAACAGUCCAAGAGCGACUAAUGGUGUGUGGGCUGGAUAUUGGGCUCGGUUAAGUGGGCCUUCUAGGUAUAUAUUUAAUGGACCAAGUAAUAAAUCCAAUUUGGGCCUUUUCAUCAUUGCCUAACAGUUGGACUGGAUCAAAUGGCAUCACAGCCCAACAGAUCUCCACCUUGAUGCCAGUGAUCAUACAAGAAGCNAGACAGCUAGAACUUCUAGCUGAAUUGGCUGUUUUGGAAAAUGAGGUUGUUUGACUCGAGGAACAGGUUGUGUAUUUUAGACAAGGUCUCUCUCAGGGAGAUGUUUACAUAGCGUCCCGGACAAAUUCAGAGGAUUCGAUUGGUUCAUUCAAUGAUGCGUUGAUUACUACUACAAGAGCUCAAGAUCUUUAUACCAAAUAGAAGUUAAUUCUGCUUCAUUAUUGCUAAUGCCCUCACAAUCUCUAACUACAUUUGCGUCUAGUCGAAGGUUAUUAUCAUUAGAUGGUGUUUUUAAUGGCACAAGGAAUUGCACAAAGAGGCCAGCAAAUGGAAAGCAAUCUAUAAAUAAAGCUAACAAAUCUUUGGAAGAUCCAUUAGUAAUCAAGGAUAGAUCUUGUUCAAAUUCUGUCAAGAAUAGAGCAAUGCCUCAAUAAAGAGACAUCCUGUGAAGCUUGAAUCAAUAGUAAAAUGUGUAAAUUCCCUGAAAAUGCAGGUAUUUUCUCAUUGGCAAUGUAGAUUAAACAAAUGUAUAUCUAAAGAAGCAAAAACUGAUUUUGAGUAUGAUGAUAUCUUUGCAGUGUAGAACUGUAGAACAGGAAAAGGAGUGGAGGUCUGGUUCUCAUUUGACAAAAUGUUUGAUGCUGAAAACGAGACAAAUAAAAGUAAACUUAGAUUAUUUAGUUUUAGAAAAAUUAGUUUUUCUAUGGUGUAGAUCUUUUUACCCCAUGAUAGUACAUUUUUACUUAACAGGAAGGUUUAGAUUUGAUGCUUCGUGUUUUUCCAACAAUGCACGCUGUGCUGCCAGAAGUCAAAAAUUUUUGCUCUAUGUUGAUGCAAAAGAAGGUCUACUAAUUAUUUUUUCCUUUUGAUUUUUUUGCUACCAACUUCUGUGUUCAAUGUAACAUAGAUUUUGGCAUUGUAAUAUUUAUUUUAAACUUAUAAUAUCCCUUUUUGCAUUUAUGCAAAUGAUAUUCAGCAAGAAUUAUGGUGGAGGACUUAUUGUAUUUGCAACCAGACGUAUUUUCUAGUGGAGUACUGUAACUAUUCCACAAGGGCCAAUUAGAAUGAUAGAGCUCGCUCUUGGUCCUGGCUACCUCCUCCUCUAUGCAUACAACCACCAAUUCACACCCUAUUGAUUUUUCUCCGUGCACAUUUGAUACAUAGUAAAAGACUACCCUGACAACAUGAUAAGAAAAAGUAUAGUCGUUAUUUUUUUCUUGGGAAAUACCACUAUCUAAUUUAACUUACCAUUUUAUUUAUUUAUUCAUUUUUUAUUUUUUGGAGGGGGACGGCUUUAGUCAUUCGGUAUAACCAUUAAGGAAAAUAUUGAGCCAAUUUUGAGACCUUAUGUAUUUUUCAUUGAAAUGUCGAAAUACAUAGGAUUAACCAACAUUCAUAGAAACCGAACCAAGAAAUGCAGAAAAUAAAAGUGCAGAAAUAAUGAACACAAAGGAUUUUUUCCGGCCGAAGCCCCAGAGGUUCAGCACGAGUGCCUAAUCCCCUGUUGAGCAUCCACUAUCAAUGGAUACAGCUCGGUUACACUAUAAUACCCAAAAACCGGCAACAAGAUUACACGAAUGUUCGGUAAAUCACAAGACUAAGCCACGAAGACUUAUCUUCUAUAAGAACCACAAAGAAAACUAUGAAACCACGAAGGAAUCAACCACAGAUCACACAAAUCUCAUAUGCACCGGACUGCUCACAAUGAAUCACACAGAUUCAUAAGAACACUACACAAUAGCACCACUCUCCUUCGAUUUACAGUAUGUAAUAUGCCUCACAAACACUAAAAUCACUGAAAUCACUUAAGAAAUAGAACCCUAGAUCACGAAGAAAAUGGAGUUUCUCACGCAGAGAAAAAGAGAGAAACAACCGGACUUCAAAAAUUAAAAUUUCUCUCAAAAAUUAUAUCAACUGAAGGGUCAGUCACAAGACUUAUAAGUAGAGGUCUCUAGAAUCCAAUCAAACGGCCUCCAUGUUGCCAGGUGUCGUGAUCCAACUCAGUCUCUCCACUAAUGAAGUUGCAAGAUCAAAAACACGACUUCAACAUAUUUUGGAAGCACAAUUUAAUAAGUGUGAGGCAACCGGUUCGAAACUCAACAUUCAUAUUUAUUGAACUUCCAAUAUUAUGUUUUUUGAAAUUUAUAUGCAUUGGAGAAUGAUACUAUAGACCCUCCCUUAAAAUUCCAGCUUGCUAAUUUGAUUAUUUAUUCUAUGUCAACUGGCGGCAGAUUCUACAUUAUUUUUCAAUAGAAAAUAUUUCACAGGCCUCUAUUCUUUUAUCUCAUCUAAUCAAAAGUAGGAACGAGAUGAUAUCCCAUGCAAUGCUUCUUGUUUUUGUGUUAAUUAAUUUUUGUUGAAUUUAAUAUUUUCAGCUUAAAUUGUUGGAAUAUAGUGGUGCCCCUAUUUUUUUUAUUGAAUUGAUUUCUUCAUUUAAUUUAUUUUUUUGUAGAUAUCUCAUCUUUUUUCUCCUUAUUUGAACUUACCAUGUUUGUUUUGUAAUAUAUGAUGCUUGGUAAUCUGAAAAUUAUGAUUAGUACAUGUGUUUAAUAUUCAUUCUCCAUUGCACUAAAACCUUGCAACCGAGGGAGGCAACAGUGCCAGUAACAUGUAUUCCGUCGAAGAAUCUGAUGUUGGUAUACUUUGCUAUAUCUCUUAGCUUACAGGCUUCCAUGGAAUUCUCAAGAAAAGGUAUCUCUUUGGUCUCUCCCUUAAUAUUUGCAUACAUCAAAUAUACUUGCGUUAUUUAUCAACCUUAAGACGAUUUUUAGAAAUUUAUCUCAAUUAAUUAUCUUUGAUGUUCGAAUUAUGAACGUGAAUGCAAGUGUAGAAGCAAGUUCUGAUAUUUUAGUACAAAUGAGGAUACCAGGUACUGAAAUAUUCAGCAAGAGUAUAUGAAUUUUUCUAGGAGAGUGUUUAAAGUUAAGCUUACGUUAACUAAACAUUUGGAAAAAUGAAGUUGUUGAUCCCAUCUGCUGCAGAGUCAUACACUUCAUUAGAUAAAGAAUUUUAAGGGAGAAAAUUUGCUCUUAUUCUUGUAAGCUUAGUAAAUCCUUUUAAAUAUAUAUUUUGAUGUAUAUGAAAAUUGUCAAUUUGGUUAUCAUUUAAAAAUGGUAAAAUCUUUGCGCUUGUUAUUUUUUUGAGAUAUUCCAAUUUUAUUGUAUUUGAAGUGGGUUUGGAUAGAAAUGUUGUACAUUUAACCUCAUUAGGUGUUCCACCAGAGCUAUGCAG
rnacentral:lncRNA from 1 species